rnacentral:rRNA from 1 species
CGCGUAGGCGGUGCAGAUAGUCAGAUGUGAAAUUCCUGGGCUUAACCUGGGGGCUGCAUUUGAUACGUCUGUGCUUGAGUGUGGAAGAGGGUCGUGGAAUUCCCAGUGUAGAGGUGAAAUUCGUAGAUAUUGGGAAGAACACCGGUGGCGAAGGCGGCGACCUGGUCCAUAACUGACGCUGAGGCGCGAAAGCGUGGGGAGCAAACAGGAUUAGAUACCCUGGUAGUCCACGCUGUAAACGAUGUGUGCUGGAUGUUGGGCAGCCUAGCUGUUCAGUGUCGUAGCUAACGCGAUAAGCACACCGCCUGGGGAGUACGGCCGCAAGGUUGAA